AGUCCUGAGGUAUAGAGAAACCAAUGCUACCAUCAAAAGCAUCUCAGAGGUCCAAUUGGAAAGAGGACUUGGGAACCCUGUAGCCCCUCUUCGUUGCUGUGCUGCAUAACUGAGAAGCAAAUGGGAUUGUAGAUCUCUAUCUGCUGGAUGCGCUGCUCUCUUGGUCGGAGGACAAUAAGGAGAGGACUGUAACUGCUGAUGUUCGCCAUGAGAGCCUCAGUUGCAAGACCUUUCCAUACCUGCUGAUAAAAAUGAUCAACAAGUCUCGAUGGAAGAUACUUGGAAUAUUGGCCGUAUUUUUGGUGAUGGUGUGGUAUACGAUAUCCCGGGAAGAAAGGUAUAUACCGCUGUGAGUGUAUUUCUUAAAACAGCAGCAACUGGAUUAUAGGAAGUUCAUAUAUUCUUUGAGUUCAGCUCCCCUCGUCUGAUUGCUCACUUUUCUUCUUGAAAUCUGGGGCUGGAUCUGAUGGAAUACUCUUGAGUCACGGGAGGAAGAUCCACAACCAAAACUACUAUUAGAUCAAAGAAAUUUGAAACUGGGCCAGAUCUAUAAUUCAAGUAAGCAUCUCAGACAAACCCCACCUUUGUUUUAAUGAUAAUAAUAAAAGGAGAGAUGGAGGAAGUACGUUCACACUUGCGAAAUAAACUGCCCCCCUACUCCCAUGCCCAUCUCCCUUCCCCCUCCCGUGCGCUCCUCUUUCCCGCCCUGUCUACGAUCCUGGCGCUUUGCCCCAAAUCCAUCAGGCGCUUCCCCAUUGGUCCACUGGAGGGUGAACAUCAUGGCUGGUUUUCCAGAUGAAGCUGUGAAGGAACUGACGUCACAAACAAUUGCCGCUCUAGGACGGCGCACUCGCUCUCCUUAACGGCACAGGCGUUUCAGAGUUAAGCUGGAACACACACACACACACACACACAGUAUUUGUUUCCAGAGAUAAAUCAUCUGGGUACCAAGUUUGAUUGACAUUGCUUGAGGUGCUCCAGAGUUCUGCUGAAACAUACAUAUAUACAUAUAUCAAAUAAAUAAAAGGAGAGAUGAAGGAAGUAUGUUCAGACUUGUAAAAUAAAUAUUAGCCAUGGCAGUAGUCUAAAGCAGAGAACUACCACACUAAUACUACACUUAUUGUGAGGUUACAAUAAUUAUUGUAAUUGAAGUCUUGUGCAUUGCCCCUCCCCUUCCUAUGUUCCAGAGAAACACACAGAGGGCUAAUUCUGAGAUCCUUAUUUACAUACCUAGUGUAGAAUCAUUUUUUGUUUAUCAGACACAGCCCAUUGUGGAUUUUGUUGCUACAACUCUGUAAUAAAAGUUAUGCCAGUUUGCAUGAUUUUGCUUUCCUAGGCUGAUCUAUCUUGGAGGACUGAUGCCAUGCAAUUGCUUGUAAAAGCAGGAAAAUAAUCAUAGUCAAUACCCUAUUUUUUCCCCCAAACAAUUUUACCAAAAUCUUGUUUGGAAUUACCUAUAUCCUUAGGCACUACCUUGAUAUUUCUUAGGUCCUCGGUUCGGAUUUGGAUUGUUUAGUUUUCCCCAAUUUCAAGAUUAUGAAUCUGACUGUAGAUUAAUACUAUUAUUACUAAAAGUACUGCUAAUAUAAUAAGAAUCUAACUGCAUUGUUUAGUUCUCCCCAAUUUCAAGAUUAUGAAUCUGACUGUAGAUUAAUACUAUUAUUACUAAAAGUACUGCUAAUAAUAAUAAUAAGAAUCUAAUUGCAUUGUUUAGUUUUCCCCAAUUUCAAGAUUAUGAAUCUGACUGUAGAUUAAUACUAUUAUUACUAAAAGUACUGCUAAUAUAAUAAGAAUCUAACUGCAUUGUUUAGUUUUCCCCAAUUUCAAGAUUUUGAAUCUGACUGUAGAUUAAUACUAUUAU